UGGGGAAUAUUGGACAAUGGGCGAAAGCCUGAUCCAGCCAUGUCGCGUGUGUGAAGAAGGCCUUUUGGUUGUAAAGCACUUUAAGCGAGGAGGAGGCUACUUAGAUUAAUACUCUAGGAUAGUGGACGUUACUCGCAGAAUAAGCACCGGCUAACUCUGUGCCAGCAGCCGCGGUAAUACAGAGGGUGCGAGCGUUAAUCGGAUUUACUGGGCGUAAAGCGUGCGUAGGCGGCUUUUUAAGUCGGAUGUGAAAUCCCUGAGCUUAACUUAGGAAUUGCAUUCGAUACUGGGAAGCUAGAGUAUGGGAGAGGAUGGUAGAAUUCCAGGUGUAGCGGUGAAAUGCGUAGAGAUCUGGAGGAAUACCGAUGGCGAAGGCAGCCAUCUGGCCUAAUACUGACGCUGAGGUACGAAGCAUGGGGAGCAAACAGG
rnacentral:rRNA from 1 species